rnacentral:rRNA from 1 species
UUUUAAAUAAAGACCUGUAUGAAUGGCCACAUGAGAAAGAAACUGUCUCUUGAAGACAGCUAAUGAAACUGAUCUGCCUGUACAAAAGCAGGCAUAACGAAACAAGACAAAAAGACCCUGUGAAACUUAAAAUUACUUAUCAACAACAUGAUAUUAGUUUUUAGUUGGGGCAACUGUAGAGAAACAAAACCUCUAUAAAAUACUAGACCAACCAGCCUAGUUGUACAAAAACCAAGACCCAGUAUUACUGAUCAAUGGACCAAGCUACUCCAGGGAUAACAGCGCUAAAUUCUUGAAGAGUUCAUAUCAACAAGAAUAUUUACGACCUCGAUGUUGGAUCAGGAUACCCAAACAGUGCAGAAGCUGUUAAAGGUUCGUUUGUUCAACGA